CAGUAGCCGCGGGAAAACGGAGGGGGCUAGCGUUGUUCGGCAUUACUGGGCGUAAAGCGCACGUAGGCGGCUUUGUAAGUUAGAGGUGAAAGCCUGGGGCUCAACUCCAGAAUUGCCUUUAAGACUGCAUCGCUUGAACGUCGGAGAGGUGAGUGGAAUUCCGAGUGUAGAGGUGAAAUUCGUAGAUAUUCGGAAGAACACCAGUGGCGAAGGCGGCUCACUGGACGACUGUUGACGCUGAGGUGCGAAAGCGUGGGGAGCAAACAGGAUUAGAUACCCCUGUAGUCCCUGUCUCUUAUAC
rnacentral:rRNA from 1 species